rnacentral:rRNA from 1 species
GACGAACGCUGGCGGCGUGCUUAACACAUGCAAGUCGAACGGAAAGGCCCUGCUUUUGUGGGGUGCUCGAGUGGCGAACGGGUGAGUAACACGUGAGUAACCUGCCCUUGACUUUGGGAUAACUUCAGGAAACUGGGGCUAAUACCGGAUAGGAGCUCCUGCUGCAUGGUGGGGGUUGGAAAGUUUCGGCGGUUGGGGAUGGACUCACGGCUUAUCAGCUUGUUGGUGGGGUAGUGGCUUACCAAGGCUUUGACGGGUAGCCGGCCUGAGAGGGUGACCGGCCACAUUGGGGCUGAGAUACGGCCCAGACUCCUACGGGAGGCAGCAGUGGGGAAUAUUGCACAAUGGGCGGAAGCCUGAUGCAGCAACGCCGCGUGCGGGAUGACGGCCUUCGGGUUGUAAACCGCUUUCGCCUGUGACGAAGCGUGAGUGACGGUAAUGGGUAAAGAAGCACCGGCUAACUACGUG